AGUACUGAUUGUGUCAUGAGCCUGCAUUAGUGGGGAAUGUUUCAGUGAGUUUGCACUGGUGUGUGUAUCAGUCGAAACUGUAUCAUUGCAUCAAGUUGGGAAAAGGGGAAGUACAACUGGAUCUGGGGGCCCUUGUAGAUGUCUAUGAAAGUAAGCAUGCAGGUA